rnacentral:siRNA from 1 species
UCCAACUUCAGUCUCAGUCUAGAU